UUUUGUACAAAAUGGUGAAGGUGUAAAUAUCGACCGGCGGACAAUUCUUUCGGAAAUCCAGUUUUACUAGCGGAAUCCUUAAGGAGAAAUGGCGCCUAAAAAAAAUUACACGCCUGCACAAAUGGCUCAGGCUAUAGAAGCGGUCGAAAGGCGAAAAAAUUACAACUGCAGCAAACAAGUAUGGUGUGCCCAGGAUUACCCUAUAUGACAAAAUUUCGGGUAAAACUCCAGUCGAGUAUUCUAUGGGUCCUAGUACCUAUUUGUCUACAGAAGCAGAAAACCUUUUAGAAAAAUGGGUAAUUGACAUGGCGGGAAAACACAUUCCCAUUACAAGAGACGAAUUGCUUGACAGUGUGCAACGCAUUAUUA